CCUACGGGGGGCUGCAGUGGGGAAUAUUGGACAAUGGGCGCAAGCCUGAUCCAGCCAUGCCGCGUGUGUGAAGAAGGCCUUCGGGUUGUAAAGCACUUUUGUCCGGAAAGAAAUCUUCCAGGUUAAUAACCUGGGAGGAUGACGGUACCGGAAGAAUAAGCACCGGCUAACUUCGUGCCAGCAGCCGCGGUAAUACGAAGGGUGCAAGCGUUACUCGGAAUUACUGGGCGUAAAGCGUGCGUAGGCGGUUUGUUAAGUCUGACGUGAAAUCCCCG
rnacentral:rRNA from 1 species